GACGAACGCUGGCGGCGUGCUUAACACAUGCAAGUCGAGCGGAAAACUUCGGUUUUCAGCGGCGGACGGGUGAGUAACACGUGGGCAACCUGCCUCACAAUGAGGGAUAGCCUUCCGAAAGGAAGAUUAAUACCUCAUAACACAAGAGAAACGCAUGUUUCUCUUGCCAAAGAAUUUCGUUGUGAGAUGGGCCCGCGGCGCAUUAGCUUGUUGGUGAGGUAACGGCUCACCAAGGCUUCGAUGCGUAGCCGACCUGAGAGGGUGAUCGGCCACAUUGGAACUGAGACACGGUCCAGACUCCUACGGGAGGCAGCAGUGGGGAAUAUUGCACAAUGGAGGAAACUCUGAUGCAGCAACGCCGCGUGAGUGAUGAAGGUCUUCGGAUUGUAAAACUCUGUCUUCUGGGACGAUAAUGACGGUACCAGAGGAGGAAGCCACGGCUAACUACGUGCCAGCCGCCGCCGUAA
rnacentral:rRNA from 1 species